CUGCGAACGGCUCAUUAGAGCUUAUAUAAAGUUUUCUUCUGCCUUUUAGGCUAUCUUCGACAAAUUGAAGCUAAUACAUGCAAACAUGUCCUUUUCGAAGGGCGCAAUAUUAGAACUACUGGCUUGCCGGCGGUUGAUUUCAAUUAUCGUUUCGAUAUCGGAAGGCGACUUCCGAUGGCCGUAAACUGUGUACGCCCUAUCACCCAGCAGGUUAAUCAUUCGCUAACCAGGGGUAUUACGGGUAACGGAGAACUAGGGUUCGUCUCCGGAGGAGAAGCCUUUGAAAGGCUACUACAUCCAAGGAAGGCAACAGGCGCGUAACUUAUCCACUACCACAGUGAGAUAGUAACUAGUCUUAACUAUUGACUGAUCUUUUAGGUUAGUCAUGGUCCAUGAGUUGAGCCUAAAUAGCUCUUCGAGGACCAAGUGGAGGGCAAGUCUGGUGCCAGCAGCCGCGGUAAUUCCAGCU
rnacentral:rRNA from 1 species